GAGAUUAGGAAAACGUAACAGCCAGGCUAAAAUCUAAAGGGGUUCAGCAGGGUUUCUUUUCCAUACAGUAUAUAAUACAUGUGUUUCUUUUUCUCUCCGACUCGUAUUGUUAACUGUCGUGAUUUUCUAAAAAAGAGAUUUCAUUUUUUUUUUCUUUAAUACUUCUUUCAUUUAUCAUCUUUUGUCUGAAUCUCUCUGGAAACGGCAACAAAAGACCAAAGUCUUUGCAUAAGACAACAAAAGACUUAUGUUUGGUAAUUGCCGACGUGUCCGGUAUGAUCUUAGUCUUUGUCUUAGUCUUUGUUUAGUUAAAAGGAAAAAAACGAGAAGUUGUGAUUGUCCGAGUCAGCUUGUUUGAGUUCUUGCGUAUCGAACUCAACCCGACAUUGGUGGGUUCUCAACAUAUUCCCUCUGUAAUCACCCAAUUUCGCAUAUUUACACCAUUCUUUUUACCAAUCACAUCAUUUACAUUAUUCUAUGUCGUAGUUGGUAUUAUGUAGUAGUAGCUAGUUCUUCUUCAUCACAUUCUGAAUUACUUUCUAAUCAUUUCUUUUACGUAGUAUACAAGAAUAUUCGAUCAUGACUUGUAUUUAUGUAACCAUAUAUAUAUAUAUAUAUAUAUAUUUAUUUUCAACAUAUCGUCCAUUUAUUUUUACUUUUCUUAAAUCUUGUUAAGUUUCUAAUAUCUAAAUUAUACCAACUAAAUAAAAUAUGAUGUUAUAGACCUAAUUUUGGCACGUUUAAGUAUGAAUAUUAAAUUUUCUAAAAACCCUAAGUUUCCAUUUGCUUAGAGGCCUUCUAUAAAUACAAUAUCAUGGCCAAGUCUUUGAUUAUCAGAUAAGUUAUCCAAUCAAUAUACACUCCUGCACAUCUAUAUUCACAAUUUCACACUCACAGCUACUUAUAUAGCAUUCUGCAAGGCGGCGUUGCAUUUUUGUUUUAUACUGUCCUUAUGAGUUUUCUUAAAAUGAAGGAAAACGCAGUCAACCCUCUCCGUCUCACGUCACUGAACCAUGUGUCUCUCUUGUGCCGAUCGCUCGAAGAGUCGAUGAAUUUUUACCAAAAGGUCUUAGGGUUCUUCCCAGUUCGAAGACCUGAGUCUUUAGAUUUUGAAGGCGCUUGGUUGUUCGGACAUGGAAUUGGAAUACAUCUCUUGCGUUCCACAGAGCCUGAAAAACUUCCCAAGAAAACUGCGAUUAAUUCCAAAGAUAACCACAUCUCUUUUCAGUGCGAGAGUAUGGCAGCAGUGGAGAAGAAGCUUGAUGAAAUGGAAAUAGAGUAUGUGAGGUAGAUAGUAGAAGGAAGAGGGAUCAAAGUGGACCAGAUCUUCUUUCACGACCCUGAUGGCUUCAUGAUAGAGAUCUGCAAUUGCGAUAGCCUCCCCGUUGUCCCCCUCGUAGGAGGACUGGCCCAGUACUGCGCAAAAGUUAAACUUCAUCAGAUGGGGCAGCCACAACCGCAGACUAAUUAAGAUCCACCCUUUACUAUCUCUGCUAUUGUUGUGUUUGUGUGUGUGCUUUGGGUGUGUUUGCUUUUGUGUGUGAUGAAUAAGAGACCGAUCAACGGGAAUCAGUGAACGUGAUUCCCCCCCGAGGGAAUUAUCAUUCUCGUUAUAUGAUAUAACCACCAAGGGAAUUAGUGUUACAUAUAUUGUUUUAGUUGGUUUCUGUUGUUGUCGUGUGUCCACAUUGGGUGUGUUUGUUUUUGGAUGUAAUGAAUAAGAAACCGACGUGAAUCAGUGAAUGUGAUUCCC